CUCUGGAUUGGUUGGUUUUUGAGGAAAGGCAUGUCUUCAGGCAAGUCAUUUGCUAUCCCAGGAAAUGGCUAGUGAUGGGAGGGGCAGUCCUUUCAGAGUCAGCAAGGUACCAGGUGUCGACACAUCAGAAACAUAGUUAAUACAGAAACAGAAUAGAAAGUCUACAAGCAGACCCUGAAUACCUGUGUAUUUACCAUAGGAUUAAGAUAACAUUUAAAGUUGGCAUAAACAGGACUUUGAAAAACAUGGGAUUUACAUUUUCUGUAUUUCUCUUUACUUGUAGUAGUCUGGCUACCAACAGGAAAACAAAACAAAACAAAACAAACACAACACUCAGAUCCUUAUAUUAUACCUUACACACAAAUAAAUUAUAGUUUUUUUCUAAUAAAUCUUAAAAUAUAUUAAAAAUACAAUAGAAUGAUUUUAAAAUAUUGAGUUGAGGAAUAAGUACACAUGUUUUAUUUUGAACAUAUAUUGCCUUUAAGUGUCAUGUAUUCAGGUCUAUUUACUUUUUCAUUAUAAUUUCUGCCUUUUAUGUCAUUGUUCAAGAAUUCAGUGCUUUCACCAACUUACUCAAUUUGGAUAAAAAGAAAGAAGUAAAAUAUUUAUUUUGGGGGGUAAUAAACAUAGCAGGUUUCUCUUCAGAAUAUUAUUUUUUUAAAUUAGGGUGAUAAAUUUCCAUAGUCUACUUUGUAAUUGAAAGUAUUUUAGGGUGUUCCUGUCAUGUCUCAGUGGUUAACAAACCUGACUAGUAUCCAUGGGGACAGGGGUUCAAUCCCUGGCCUUGCUCAGUGAGUUAAGGAUCCAGCGUUGCUGUGAGCUGUGGUGUAGGUUGCAGAUGUGGCUCAGAUCCAGCAUUGCUAUGGCUGUGGCGUAGGUCGGCAGCUACUGCUGAGAUUAAAUCCCUAGCCUGGGAGCUUCCAUAUGCCACAGAUGCAACACUAAAAAGACCAAAAAAAAAAAAAAAAAAUUAGAAAGAAAGUAUAUUCAGAGGAUUUCACGUUAGAAACUUUGGGAAAAUGCUGUAACACCAUUAAUUAAGAAAUAAGCUUUCAAAAUCAGCUGUUUUUGAAUUGUUUAAUGCCUUUUCUAUUCCACAUGAUGAUAUUCAUUAAUUCACAAAUGGUAUUAAACAGCUGUUUUCUAAAAUUCAAUAUCUUAAUAACAACUAAAGCAGAUUAUACCCUAAAUAGAAUCAGUUCAAGAUAUUAUAUUAGGGGCAACCCCCUUGCAUCAGAAUGAAGUAGAUGAGAAAGUUCUUGGCCACUUGACAAGACUCCAUAUGCUACUAAAUAUGCAAAGCUAGAUUGGUAGAUUUUGUGUCUUGCAUCUGUAAGCACUGGCAAUUCAGGAAUAUUUACCACUAAUGAAGAAUAUCAGAUCAGUUCAAGUUAAUUAGCAUUUAUCCUUCUUCCUUCACAGAAUCCUUCCAUCAUGCUUCAUUCAGCAUCAAAUAUAAGCAUAUACUAUUAGGAAUAAAAGUGGGGCUUGAAUUUCCUAUCCUUGAGAAAAAUUGGCAGCUAAACACCAGCUUUCCACAUUCGUCAAUAUUGUCAGUAUGUUUAGUUGACAGUGGUACCAACUUUUCCUGUUUAAAAAGCUAUUUCCUUAUUCUAAACAUGAUAAUUGUGUGUGAUAAUAUUUAAUUUAUAAGGAGAAAUAUCUCAAAGUACCAACCAAUGAAAUAAAAACAUGGUCUUUUAAUUUUCUACUCUUUUUCCUCAAUGAACAUUCUAAAAUAUCUGAGGGUAAAACAGUAUUUUUAAGAUGACAGUCUAUAAUUAUUUGAGUUGUUAUAUUGAUGUCUUCUUUUAUGGAUUUAAAGUAUUCUUUAUGGUAAAAUGUAUAUUUAGUAUUUUCUAAAGGAAGAAAAUCUUUUCCAUUUUAGUAGUAAGAGUCAAAACCAAAAACAUCUGUAUACUUAAUCUUUUUAAUUUCAAAAUUCCCUUUUUUGUGUUUUUUGACUAAAUAAUUCAAUAUUUUUAUGAAGAUAUUUUGUUCUUCAGAGUCUCUGGAAUGUUCUUUUCUCCAGAUCUCCCUGUAGUUUUAUGGGAAAAAGAAACUCAAGUCCCUAGAUACUCGUCAAAGGUAGAGCUGCAAUAAGUGAGUGAUUUGAUUCAUUAUUUACUUAUUCAUUCUUUAAAUAUUGCUGAGUACCUACUAUUUACUAUACAAUGUAAGAAAAGCACCUUUGCAUUGUACGAGUCAAACCAAAGUGUUAGCUUUUCAGGACAUUUUAGAAAAUAUUUGCAGUUGUAUUCUUUGUGGGGCAAAUCCUUCCCCAACUUCUUUGCUUAUUAGAUAUGUGACUUUGGAUGUGUAGAUUAACUUACUGAGCCUCAGUUUUCUUAGAGAAUUGUUUGAGGAUUUGUAGGAUGACACAUAUGAAGGUGUUAUUCGAUUUUAAAACUAAACAUUGAAACAAUAGUAUUAUUGGUGUUAUUACUAUUAUUAGAUUGUAAUAGCAACAGAUCAAAAGAAUCCAAAUUACUAUUAUUAUCAUCACUAUUAAUGUUACCAUGAUAUGCCCAGUGAUAGGUUCUGCGUAUUUAAAAAAAAAAAAAAAUGCCUGGGAAGUGUUAGAAGAGAGAAUGAUGAUGGAAAAGUACACAAAAUUUACUGUGAUAGUGAUGUGUUUCUCCAAGAGAUGGGACUAAUAGUUUGUUCUUUACUGUUAAUUUCUACAAUAAAAGCAUUACUGGAGUGACAUGUGCGUUAUUUUAAAGCAAAGAGAAGUAUAAUCACCUUUUACAAUUUAGGUAGCUUAUUUUAUAUUCUUCAUGUUUCAUGUUCAAUAGCCUUUUUGACAAUGACAGUAUAGUUUUCCUCUGGGAAUUAUAUUACAUUAGAACAUUAUGUAAUACUGUGGACAAUACUGUACAUAACUGGAAGGAGUUGGAAUACUAGUAUUGAAUUCAGACCUAUUCAUCUCAACUGUUAAGAAGAGCAAAGUGAUACCCUGGAAGCAUAGAAGACAGCAGUGUUUGUGGGUAUAAGGAAAAGCUUCAAUUUUUUUUUUAAUAUAUCUUUUAAUAUACUUCAGUACUUCAUCCUUUUUAUCUAAAAACAGUCUACUUUUUCUCAACCAGAAGAUGUCCUUCAAACCCCUUUUAUCAUUGAAUUGGGUAGGUUGAAAUGAUCUGUUCUAACCCACUUUUAAAUAUGUGUUAUUGUCUAGGCCAGAGAAUUUUCCCCUCAUUAUCACCUCAUAAAACAACUAUGAGAGGAGACUAGACUUCUUACCCUAAUGCAGUUGUAAUGAAGUGAAAGUUUUCUGGUUUGCUUUGGAUUUUUCCUCAUAGAAUUUUGCAACCUAAGCCAGAACAUACCUUGGCUCAUGUAUUACUGCCUUUUUUUUCCUUCCCCUGAAAUUAAAGGUUAAAACCUAGAGAGCUUAAAUGAAAGCAAGGAAUCCUUAAACAAUUUGUGGUUAGUCACUUACUGUGAAAAUUAAUGAAAAUCACAAAAAGAAAAAUCACCAUUAAAUUUCAAGAAAUCAUCCUAGUACUGAGAGCUUUUAGCAGGUUUAACAUAAACAUUUCAGAAGGCAGUAAUGGAAGCAUCAGUGAGAGGUAGAUUCUCAAAAUCAGAGAAACUGUGUCCUCAAAUAUGUGUGUAAGUUGGUGACAUUUUAGGGAACUAGAAACUAUUGAAAAGAGACAUUGAAUAUUUGUGUUGUAAAAUAUACAUCUAUCUUAUUCUAAACUACACUAAUUGAAUAUCAUUACCGGUUUAAACCCCACUAGAGAAAUUCCAGUUGCUAAUGAUGGAAUUUUCAUUGGUCUUUAUCCUGGAAUCUUAUAUCAACACCCAAGUCUCAAAAGUCUUAUGAGUUAAUCAUAAUCUCUACUGGAUGGUAAGAAAGAGAAGAAAGUCCUAAAAAGAGUCAUGCUCCUCUGCUCCAUGCACCAGGCAAUUUCUGUACCACGGAUUUUAUAAACACGCCCCUUCACUAUUCAUGGAAAAAAUUCUGCUUCCUUAAUAACUACCACAUUAUGAGCUGCUGAAGUCUUUCUUUAAAAACCACACAACCGCACACUAAUGUAGCAUAUAAACUAUGAUUUUUAGAGUUAUUUCACAGAACAACUUGUACAAGAGUGAAUACACAUACUCUUUUAAUUUGUGAAAUUUAAAAAAAGUUUGGCUGUACAAAAUUAGGAAACAGUUUAUUCUUUAUCAUUUCCAUAUCAAUAUUUGGGAAAUAAAUGGAAAAAGCAAAAUAGAACAGUAGCCAAGAAAGGGGGAUACUUUAACAUUGCAUUUUCUUACUUUCUUUGGAGAAAAUGCCAUCAGUAAAUUUUCUUUUUGGCUUCUUGAGUAAAUGCUACUUUAUCUUGGAAGACUUUUAGAAGCUCUUAAAAAAACCUAUAUUACCUAUUUUCCUAAGUUAAAUUAAAAAUGCAUUAAAUAUCUAUUGUUUCAUUGUUGAAUGUAGUGUUUAUUGAAUUAAGGCGAUUUUAAACUUUUGUGAGGACUUUGAAAGACUCUAUAUUUGAAUAUUGUCCUCAAAGGGAAAAAAAUAUGUGUCAAAUUCAGUAUAAUUUCUAAAUACACGGGAGGCUUAAUAUUGGGUCAGAAUAUUCUGUGUAAUUUGGAAGAGAAAAAAGUGAACAUAAAGAAAUUUUUCUUGCCUCAUCAUUAUAAAGCUUUAAAAAGGGAAAGCACGCUCUAGUUAAUAAAAUUGUAGAUCCAACCAGAAAGUAUCUGUAACAUAAUAUUUGUAUGUACUUGAUAAUUUGUGUAAAUGCUUGGGAAAAUAAAGCUGUAGGAACCUGAGGAUCCUGGCCAUGCAUUCACAUAGAUUCAAUUGUAUUUGAAGGGCUAGCAGCAGCAACCUACUAGAGUUAAAACAUAUAAAAUAUAUAAUUAAGUAUAUAAUAUAGUUAUUUUUAACCAAUAUGGUUGAAUAUCAGUAAUUUCUUUCUGAUCAAACUUACGUCUACACUUAAGACUAAAAUUCGUAUAGUAGAUCACCUCAUUGGGUAAAAGAAAAAACGAAGAGAAGACAGUUUUGAAUACAUUACAGUUAAGGAUGAGCAGUCUGAGGGAAAAAAGAGAGCUCUAUCAUGACAGUGUUUUUAAGAAAGAGAAAGGUAUAGAGGAGCACUGAUUUAUGAACCAUAUUUUUAUGUAGGAUAUUCAUCCACUUAAGUUUGGCAAUGGGAGCAAAUCAUUACAAAAAUAAGCAUGAGCUAAUUCCUCUAAUUCUUUUUAUAUUUUUAUGGGAUGAUUAAUUGAUUUCAUGGUUAGUCACUGACCCAAUCAUUUAUUCUUUCAUUCACUCAACAAAAAUUUACUGAGGUUCCAAUGUAUAUCAGGAAUAAUGGAAGGUGCUGGAGAUAUACUGGGAGACAAGACAAUUAAUGUUUGUCAGGGUGGUAACUCAAAUAAGGAAACAAAAAUUAUAGCAUAGUGUGAAAAUGCUAUAAGGCAAAUAUUAAACUCUCUCUCUCCUUCCCUCCCUUGAUUGCUCUUAAUCUCAGAACCCUCCCAUGGCAGUAUGAAGGAACUGAUGAACUUUAUUCAUGAUUUAGAUUAAAUGUUAUACCUUAAUUCUUUCUCCCUGCCCAAGUUUGCAUACCUAUUUGUUUUCACUGGUCUAUCUUUUGGGAACAAGGGAGUAAAUAAAUAGAUAGGAAACAGCCUUGCUAAUUAAUAGUAUCAUUAUGCUCUAAGAAUAAGUUUUCUACUAACCACCCCCACACACACAAAAACUGUUAUCUUGAAUGAUAGCCAUAUAUAGUUUAAAAAAUACAGAGCUGGGAGUCAUAGCCCUGAAUCACAAUCGUGAGGUGUUACAUAUCAUUUAUCCUUUGUGGGAUAGAAGCAGUAUUUGUUAGGAGGAUGAGAUGAGGUGGUACCUUGCACUGUGGCUGACAGAUGGCAGGCCUUCAGGAAAUGCUUGAAUCGGAUUCUAGGAUGCCUAGACUAAGAUAAUCAUGGGAGGCCUUGGAGACUUUCUGCUGUUAGAGUCACUAUCUGGUAGCCUUAUCCACUUAUGAAGAUUGUGAUCUACAUCUCUGUUUCACUCACAAAACUGGUUUUCAGCCAUCAGAAGAAUUGACAGUGAUCCUAGAUCUCCAAUAAAGUGACUCAUUUCAUCUCACCUUUAGGACAAGCACUCAAGAUCUCUGGGAAAUGUGCAUUCCACAACCUACAACUGUUUUAGACAUGACCAGGCACAGUCUACCCAUGGCGUCAACUUUCCCUCACUGGGAGACCAGCCCAGACUGAGUUCCUAUCCCCUUAGUCUCACUCAUCAUUCCAAAUUUCCCGGUUGAAGAACCCAAUUACCUUAGUUUACCCUUGUAAGAAGACCAAUUAUCUGAUUAAUGAAGGAACAAUGUCUACCCCAAAACAAUCUCUAGUAAAUGUAUAUUCCAGCAUGCAAUAGAGGAGUCACUGUUCAAUUAUUCUUAUGCUUAUAUGUAUCAUAAUUAUUUUAUUAUUGCCUGAAUCUAGGACUAAGUAUCCUGUGAAGUCUCGCGUCUUUUACCAAUAAAAUCUCAGAUGGAACACUUGUGGUCAAAGAAAGGAGUACGACUUCAUCAAUGUAUUAAAAAAAAGUAAGCACCCAAUCCCAUGAAAGCUGAAGAGUAACUAACUCUCCAGUGUCGAUAAAGGAGAGGAAAUUUAGAUCCCAGGUGCCUUUUGGAGGCAUCUCGAGAAAUGGUGCUCAGAGUGGUUUGGGGAGCCACUGCCUUAUAAACUGCUAAAGCACAGAGGGAAUUAUUUUGGACUCUUGCAUUAGAAGCAAUCACUCACCUUUCCGUCAGAAACUACUGGGAUCUCCUACCACACCUCCCAUCCCAGUUUGAUAUGAUCAUUGCUGGAGAAGCAAGCCUUCCUUUUCAGUUUUCUCUUGAAAUCUAGUCUGAACAUCAGUCUCCUUGGCUUCCUAAAAACGUCUUUUGUUCAAUUAAUUUUUCCACAUUUUCAACUUCUUCUUUGCCACCUCCAUUAUUUAACUGAAAUUGCUUAAGGUCGCUGCUUCCCUGACACCCUUUCUAAUGGGAGCAUCUUGUUCUGCUACAAUCCGGAUCCUUCUUUGCCAGAAGAAGGAGUAGGUGUCUGUACUGCUCCCUAGAACUCCUUUAAGGCUCAAGAUUUUUCCUGCAAAACCUCCUUUGAGUCUAAUACCCUCAGAUGGAGCAUCCUCUCUCCCUCACUGCUGGAAACUGUUCACUCAUUGAAAAUCUUAGUUUUGGCUCCAAAUCUUCUUUUUGGAGUCCUGAAUUUUGCAACUUAACCUCCUCAUGUUCUGGCCACCCAUUUGGUUCUAUCAACUUUCCACAAUGGACUAAUGGCAGCUGAAAAAUUAUCGUGAAUAGCUGAAAAAAUAUCGUGAGUCCUAAGUGCUGGAGGUGACUCUCUAUAAAAACAUAAAGCUUAACUUAAAUAAUCAAAAUUUUAUUUUCUGUGUCAUAAGAAAAUGGACAAAAAGUACUGUCUCAAUGUUAGAUUAGUAUACAAGUAGUUCCACCUCUCUCCAUGACUCAAAUAAUACAUGCCCUUUGGGAGUUCCUGUUGUGGCUCAGCAUGUUAAGUAUCCAUGAGGAUAUGGAAUCGAUCCCUGGCCUUGCUCAGGGGGUUAAGGAUCCAGCAUUGCCACAAAAUGUGGCAAAGUUCACAGAUGUGGGCUCGACCUUGCAUUUCUGUGACUGUGGUGUAAGCUGGCAACUGCAGCUCUGAUUCGACCACUAGCCUGGGAA
rnacentral:lncRNA from 1 species